GUAGGGAAUAUUGGGCAAUGGUCGGAAGACUGACCCAGCCAUGCCGCGUGCAGGAAGACGGCCCUCUGGGUUGUAAACUGCUUUUAUCUGGGAAGAAAAAGGCCAUGCGUGGCAAAUUGCCGGUACCAGAUGAAUAAGCACCGGCUAACUCCGUGCCAGCAGCCGCGGUAAUACGGAGGGUGCGAGCGUUGUCCGGAUUUAUUGGGUUUAAAGGGUGCGUAGGCGGCUGAUUAAGUCAGCGGUGAAAGACUUCGGCUUAACCGGAGCAGUGCCGUUGAUACUGGUUGGCUUGAGUGUCGGAGGGGUAUAUGGAAUUGAUGGUGUAGCGGUGAAAUGCAUAGAUACAUCAGGAACACCGAUAGCGAAGGCAUUGUACUGGCCGACAACUGACGCUGAUGCACGAAAGUGUGGGGAUCGAACAGGAUUAGAUACCCUGGUAGUCC
rnacentral:rRNA from 1 species